rnacentral:rRNA from 1 species
UGGGGAAUAUUGCACAAUGGAGGGAACUCUGAUGCAGCGACGCCGCGUGAACGAAGAAGGCUUUCGAGUCGUAAAGUUCUUUUAUAUGGGAAGAUAAUGACGGUACCAUAAGAAAAAGCCCCGGCUAACUACGUGCCAGCAGCCGCGGUAAUACGUAGGGGGUUAGCGUUUUCCGGAAUCACUUGGCGUAAAGGGUUCGCAGGCGGAAAUGCAAGUCAGGUGUAAAAGGCAGUAGCUUAACUACUGUAAGCAUUUGAAACUGCAUAUCUUGAGAAGAGUAGAGGUAAGUGGAAUUUUUAGUGUAGCGGUGAAAUGCGUAGAUAUUAAAAAGAAUACCGGUGGCGAAGGCGGCUUACUGGGCUCAUUCUGACGCUGAGGAACGAAAGCGUGGGUAGCAAACAGG